ACCUGGGUGGUUCAGUUGGUUGAACAUCUGACUUCAGCUCAGGUCAUGAUCUAACAGUUCAUGGGUUUGAGCCCCACAUCAGGCU
rnacentral:tRNA from 1 species